UAAACUGAAAAUGCUAACUGCCCUGUACUUCUAGUUAUAUCAGUACAAACAUCUAGUUCUGUCCUUUCAAAAUCUGGCAGUAUAUCACUGUCAGUACCAAACUUUUAAAGAUCAAACAUCGAUGUACAGACUUCUAAACUCCAUCUAAACUUUGACAAUCUCUCUUUGUUUCCAAUUCUCUGCUAUGAACAAUCUUAAAGAUCCACACAACAAUCUCCCAUCAGAACCUUAAAGAUCAAAUCUUUAACAUUAAAUCUUGAUCUUUUUUCAUUUUUCCAAGUACCCCUUUACCUCAAAUUGCCUUUAAACACAAAAAUCUCUAUUUCUUUCCAAUUCUCUGCUAUGAACAACCUUAAAGAUUCACACAAUAUCCAUUAGAACCUUAAAAAUCCAAUCUUUAACAUUAAAUCUUGAUCUUUUUUCAUUUUUCCAAGUACCCCUUUGCCUCAAAUUGCCUUUAAACCCAAAAAUCUCUAUUUCUUUCCAAUUCUUUGCUAUGAACAACCUUAAAGAUUCACACAAUAUCCAUUAGAACCUUAAAGAUCCAAUCUUUAACAUUAAAACCUGUUCUUUUUUCAUUUUCUCAACAACCCCUUUGCCUAAAAAUGCCUACAAACCCAAAAAUCUUCACUGCCAGAUCAUCCACUUCAUACUACUACAACUCUAGGAGAUCAACAAUUUUAACACUAUGUUUUAUUAUCGGUUUUACCGGGUUUAUAUUCGGGUUUACUGCCAUUUCGAAGCGGGUUUUAGGAGGUUAUAACUGUAAAUAUGCUGAACCAAGAUCUGUUUCUGUUGCUUGGGAUAGAAGAACUAGUAUAGGAAAAGGAGGAGGAGCCAUGGUGGAAAAAGAAAGUGGGCUUACUGAUGGAGAGUAUAAGAGGCAUAAAGUUAUGGGUUUUGUUGGAAUUCAGACCGGGUUCGGGUCGGUUGCUCGAAGGAGGUCGUUGAGAAGGACUUGGUUUCCAUCUGAUCACCAAGGGCUUCAAAAGUUAGAAGAAGCGACUGGCUUGUCCUUUAGAUUUGUUAUUGGUAGAACAAGUGAUAAAUCUAAGAUGUCAGCGCUUAAGAAAGAGGUAGCAGAAUAUGAUGAUUUUGUACUAUUAGACAUUGAAGAAGAGUACAGUAAGCUCCCAUACAAAACCUUAGCGUUUUUCAAGGCUGCCUAUGCACUUUAUGAUUCCGAGUUCUAUGUUAAAGCUGAUGAUGACAUAUAUUUACGGCCAGAUCGCCUUUCAUUGCUCUUGGCCAAAGAGCGGUCUCACUCACAAACUUACCUUGGUUGCAUGAAAAAGGGUCCAGUUUUCACCGACCCCAAACUCAAAUGGUAUGAACCACUUUCAUCUAUUCUAGGGAAGGAGUAUUUUCUGCAUGCUUAUGGUCCUAUUUAUGCACUUUCCGCUGAUGUUGUUGCAAGUUUGGUUGCCCUGAGGAACAACAGUCAAAGGAGUGAUAGCUCAUUAGUUUUCUCCUUUACCUGUGAAUUAUCAGUUUCCGAAUGUUUAGCAAUGAGGAUGUUACCAUUGGAGCGUGGAUGCUUGCGAUGAAUGUCAAUCAUGAGAACAAUAAGCAACUAUGUGAACCAGAGUGUACAGCUUCAUCUAUUGCUGUGUGGGAUAUUCCAAAGUGUUCAGGUCUGUGUAAUCCAGAGAAGAAAAUGUUAAAACUUCAUGCAAACGACGUCUGCUCAAAGAGUCCCACUCUACCAUCAGAAGAUGAUUAAUGGGCUUGAUCAAUUUUGACUGCUGGAUUUUAGUCUUCCCUGGAAGAUCAUUUGUGUAUUUUGUAAGCCACUUAUGAGAUAUGGAUGUAAAAUAGAUAUAAUUUUUUCCACUGAUUGAUGUUGCACAAAAAUGGAGUGACAUGAACAAUUAUUGAUGAUUGAUAUAGCUGAACCCGACUUGCUGGGGAUCGAGGUGUAGUUAUUGUUGUUGUACUGAUGUUGCACAAACCGAUGAGAACUUUGAUAGUAAAUGGUAUUUUUUCUAUUUGCAA